AUGAGACUUAAGGAAAUAUUUCCCUUUAGGGCAAGCUUUUCCAUAAUCAACCAUUGCAGGCAUAUUUCCUCUGGUCCAGGAUCCCAAACUACAGGGACAGGACAAGUCACCUUCUGGCACAUCUUCCUGCAAGGUGAUACCUGUGGCCGACAAGCCCUGCUCUCAGGAUUCUCGGAGCUGGCAGAUCACCAGCGUUGUUUCUUCUCUCCUUGGAUUAGCCCAGCCAGCGCGCUCUGUAUUUCCCUGCUUCUGCCAGUGUUGUUGUUUUGAAUCCUGCAACACCAGCUAAGUCAAUCAAUCACCACAAUCAGUGCUGGCAUUGAGGCACAAAAUAACAUGGAAGGAAAAAAAAAUAACAAAAAACAAAAGGCAAACCACCACGCUGCAACACAGCGAAGGGCUGGGUGGCACUGAAAUCAAGAGCAGACACAUCCUGCCAGUGGCUGCAUCAGCUGGCGGCUCCCUGCUGCGGGGCUGUGUGUGCAUGCACAUGUGUUGUGGCUUUCUCUUUUCUGCUACAAGUUGGAGAAACUUGGCCUGCUGCACUAGGAAAAUAAUCGAGUGAAACAACAAAAUAUGUAAUGCAUCCAUCGCUCUGUAACUCCAGUCCAGGCUGCAGCAGAAUGGGGAAAGGAUUUCUGAUUAAGCAGAUUAGUUUGAUGUGCUUGUAAUACAUGCUUUAUUAACGUGUAACUGUUACUGAUGAAAUACAUUGUGCAACAACAACAAAGAAACACACACACAACAACCCCACCUCCUUUCCAACAGCCACCCUGAGAACUCUGUACCUGGGCUUAUAUAGGAGGGAAACGCAAAAAGCCCUUCCAGGCUGAGCGUGCGGCCAAGGGGCCAGCGGUAGGUGCUAAAAUUCAGACAGUUGUGCUGCAACCUAGCUGGAGAAAAGGCUGCCAACACAGUCCCCAGCUCACUAAAGCAUUAAAACGUCUGCUCCAGUACGUAAAUACACGCAGGAGGGGUUGCCUGUAGGCUUGAGGUGAAGCACCUGCUUAAACACCCUGCUGAGAUUGUGACACAGAGGGCAGGGAUGGCUGGAGUGCUGUGCUGUGCUGUGCUGUGCUGUGCUGGCGGCCAGGCAGACUCCCACCUCACCACAGUAACUUCUUUCAGAUGGGGCAGGGGAGGCUCUAGCGAAGUGUUUUGAAAAGCCAUCCAAGUCCACCUGCAACUUUAAAAGCGUGGUUUCUGAUCGGUGUACCUCUUGAAAGCUUCCACGGAGGUAGGCUCUGCAACCUCCCCAGGCGAUCUCUUCCAGUGCUUAACCAGCCAUAUUAUUACCAAGACUUUCCUAAUGUUUAACCUAAAUUUCCUGUGCUGCUGCUUAACCCAAUGCUACUUAUCCUAUCCUCAGCGAAUAAAGAAAACUAUUCCUUUCCUCUUGAUGUGCA
rnacentral:lncRNA from 1 species